UACGUAGGGUGCGAGCGUUGUCCGGAAUUACUGGGCGUAAAGAGCUCGUAGGUGGUUUGUCGCGUUGUUCGUGAAAACUCACAGCUCAACUGUGGGCGUGCGGCGAUACGGGCAGACUGGAGUACUGCAGGGGAGACUGGAAUUCCUGGUGUAGCGGUGGAAUGCGCAGAUAGUCAGGAGGAACACCGGUGGCGAAGGCGGCAUCCUGGACCAACACUGACGCUGAGGAAGCGAAAGCCAGGGGAGCAAACAGG
rnacentral:rRNA from 1 species